UUCGCCCUUAGAGUUUGAUCCUGGCUCAGGACGAACGCUGGCGGCGUGCCUAACACAUGCAAGUCGAGCGGAGACAGUGAGUAGCUUGCUAUGAGCUGUUUUAGCGGCGGACGGGUGAGUAACGCGUGAGCAACCUUUCCCAGACAGGGGAAUAACACACCGAAAGGUGUACUAAUACCGCAUAAGACCACGGGAUCACAUGGUUCUGAGGUAAAAGAUUUAUCGGUUUGGGGUGGGCUCGCGUCCGAUUAGGUAGUUGGUGAGGUAACGGCCCACCAAGCCGACGAUCGGUAGCCGACCUGAGAGGGUGAUCGGCCACAUUGGGACUGAGACACGGCCCAAACUCCUACGGGAGGCAGCAGUGGGGAAUAUUGGGCAAUGGAGGAAACUCUGACCCAGCAACGCCGCGUGGAGGAAGAAGGUUUUCGGAUCGUAAACUCCUGUCGUUAGGGACGAUAAUGACGGUACCUAACAAGAAAGCACCGGCUAACUACGUGCCAGCAGCCGCGGUAAAACGUAGGGUGCAAGCGUUGUCCGGAAUUACUGGGUGUAAAGGGAGCGCAGGCGGGAAGACAAGUUGGAAGUGAAAACCAUGGGCUCAACCCAUGAAUUGCUUUCAAAACUGUUUUUCUUGAGUAGUGCAGAGGUAGAUGGAAUUCCCGGUGUAGCGGUGGAAUGCGUAGAUAUCGGGAGGAACACCAGUGGCGAAGGCGGUCUACUGGGCACCAACUGACGCUGAGGCUCGAAAGCAUGGGUAGCAAACAGGAUUAGAUACCCUGGUAGUCCAUGCCGUAAACGAUGAUUACUAGGUGUUGGGGGAUUGACCCCCUCAGUGCCGCAGUUAACACAAUAAGUAAUCCACCUGGGGAGUACGACCGCAAGGUUGAAACUCAAAGGAAUUGACGGGGGCCCGCACAAGCAGUGGAGUAUGUGGUUUAAUUCGAAGCAACGCGAAGAACCUUACCAGGUCUUGACAUCCGAUGCAUAGCACAGAGAUGUGUGAAAUCCUUCGGGACAUCGAGACAGGUGGUGCAUGGUUGUCGUCAGCUCGUGUCGUGAGAUGUUGGGUUAAGUCCCGCAACGAGCGCAACCCUUAUUGCCAGUUACUACGUUAAGAGGACUCUGGCGAGACUGCCGUUGACAAAACGGAGGAAGGUGGGGACGACGUCAAAUCAUCAUGCCCCUUAUGACCUGGGCUACACACGUGCUACAAUGGCCACGACAGAGAGAAGCGAAAUCGUAAGGUAGAGCGGAACUCAAAAAAGUGGUCCCAGUUCGGAUUGUGGGCUGCAACCCGCCCACAUGAAGUCGGAGUUGCUAGUAAUCGCGGAUCAGCAUGCCGCGGUGAAUACGUUCCCGGGCCUUGCACACACCGCCCGUCA
rnacentral:rRNA from 1 species